rnacentral:lncRNA from 1 species
UUAUGCACGUUGUGUGUGUGGAAACAACAAGUAUCACAACACAAACUUUACGACUCAAAGCAUAUGUAUUCAAUGGCUCUAACGGACAAACAUAACAGAGUUACUAUAGGCAGGGGUCAGAUGAAGCAACACUCAACUACAAGCAAGAGCAAGUUAUGUCUUAGUAUAGAACAAGUUUAAUAAGCAAAAUAAGAGGCAUGAAACUAAAACAACAACUCUCCCAAGGCACCAGACUGCCAUCUGGAACUUCGAAGUUACUAGUCGGUAUAGAUCUCCAUUUAGAAACCACCAUCGGGUUCGGUGAUCUCCUCUGCAACAAGUUAAUUAAGCAAGGAUGAGUACAAUUGUACUCCGCAAGACUUGCAUCAAAACUAGCUAAAGAUGCUCAAGUAUCAAGGGGGGAGGAUGUGGAAUGGUGUGCAUAAUUGCCAGCUUUGACUUUGGAUACUCUAAGUUACAUGUACCAGUAGCUUGUAUCACAUGUAAGAUAACACAUAUGAGUCCAUCAUCUAGUUAAUCACCACACUGAUACACAUCCACCCUCGAUUCGUCCACGAGGAAGCAAUUCAAGGUACUCACGAUUGUCUUCACGCCAUUAAGGUAACCAUUAAACUUGUCUAUGAUCGGCCAUAGAUCACCAAGUAGCCACUUAACCGCAUACACGCCUAUUCGAAUAGAAUUAACCCUGCAAGGGUGUGCAACUUUCCCCACAUGCAUCCAUCAUCUCUUAAUGCUAGCUAGCAGCACACUUUAGGUUGUGCUUGGACAGAGGAUGGUCGAGUAUGGCUCUUACCUUAACACUUGAAUGUAGUCCAUGGAGUCACCUAUCUAGGCUGAAGCCAUAUCAAGAGUCCUGCCGAGUUCUCCAAUGGGGCCUCAAACAUUAUCUUGAGGUCCGCAAACCCAUCCGAUGGCACAUGCGAAGUCGUGUCACUUUUCUAUGUCAUGCAAUGCCAAUUGCUAUGCAUAUGUUGCGAAAACCCAAACUAGUUGUGACUCUUGCAAGUUAGUAGAUCGUGCGGAGGGGGUGUCAUAUGCCCAACAUGUGGUUAUGUGCUCAGUCUUUCUCAAAGAUACAAGAAGUAGGGUCCUAUGAGCGGCUUAAAUGAAACAACCCACUGUGUUCUCCAACAAGGCUCUCAUCUUCAGAUUUAGUCAUAUCCACUCUUAUACCCUUUGCAUCUAUCUCUAACAUGAACAACACCAUAUUUAUUGAUUGCACACGGUGGACACGAGACUUGCACAGCUAUAAGCAUGCCUAAGCAUGACAAAUAGUAGGGCCACAUUAAGAUAUCAAGCAACUCAUAAUCAUGCUAGGAUCAAGAUAGAGUUAUCUACAGUGACAAGGAUAUGUGAUGCAAAGGAUGGGCUCCAUCUAGGUAAUGAAAGAGGGGAGAGUCUGUCUUCCACCUAACAACAUGAUUGGCAAGGCCCCUAGGUCAAGUGACCGGGAAACCUAGUCGCCACCACCAGGAGAGUCGCUCCUUCUGGCGUCGUCUUCCAGUGGCUCUUCUCCGCCGGUGACUUCUUGGUCGUUGGCGUUGAGGGGGUCAUCAGAUCCCGCGUGUACAGAAUGUUUUUAGAUUUAGGUUUUAGGGCCCUAGUAGCUUCGGUUUUUGGGUCGUUCGACGUCUUGGCUUCGACGAUGGCGAUGCUGAAUAAACAAGCUCCAGAUUCUUCCCAGACGAGGCGAUCGUCUCUAUGGUCGGUGAUGGAUUCUGGGAACUAAUAUGUUCAAGCGGAUGUCAGGGCGACGCGACAUCCUUGUGGUGGGCUUGUGUCCUCUGGAUCCGUUGUUGCGAUGGCGUUUCCUGCAGCGUCGACACGGAGCUUGAAAGGUAAUCUAGGAGCGGAUGCAGAUUCUGAUAUGCAUCAAUGACAUCUGGAAGAUGGAACAUGUGCUGGGUUCAUGGUUGAUGGCUGACAGGUAUGGUUUCCUCCUUCGGCUACUUAGUCAUGGUGGGGUGCUAGAUCUGGAGUUCGAUGGCAUGUCAGGGGUGUUGCCCCGAUCUGAUUCGUCCAACGGCAAUAGCUUCGGCUUUGGCGAGACACCUUAGAGGUCCGCAAAGCUGCAUAUCAGCGAUGGAGCCCCAUCGAGCUCGGAUGAGGAGGUGAUCUAUCAUUUUUUUUACUUUGGUUUCUGUUGUGGUGGUGCCAGAGGCAGGUGACGGGAGUUGGUAUUAAGCUUAGAGGAUUCUUCGAUCUUGAUUGUAAUUUUACUUCUUGGCUAGUGGUCCUUUGUGUAGAGGCAAGUGUUCUGGUGUCUUUUUAGUUUUGUCAUGUCGGUCUAGAUGUGGCUUGUACUAUGAUCUUUAUGACAUAAAUAAGACACGUAUUACCAUGCAAAAAAAUCUAGGGGAUGAAGGCAACAGUUGAAUCGAUAAACCCUAAUGAAGUGGAACAAGAGAGUAAGUUUCUAGAAUAUGAUUAUUGACAUGGUCAAGGGGGUUUUCUUUUCCUUACAGCUUGCUAGAGGGCAACUGCUCUUCAGUGGCGGUGUCAUACUCUACUUCGGGUUCAACUUCUACCCGUAAGAACAAAACACCGACAAGAAGCGGGAUAACAUUCAAUAAAGUGUUAUGCUCAUUCAAGAUGCAUGUCAUGACAUGCUAAAGGCACUAAAUUGGACUAAUGCGUCAAGAAUCAAUUCAAUUGAAGUGAAAUUGAUCAAAUAUAGCAAUCCGGAACUCCAAAACUAUUAUUAAAGCGACAAUUACAUGUUUUGUUUUGAAUAGAAAUUUUAAGUUGCUUCAACAUCCAUGAUCAUGGCAUAAAGAGAAAGGGUACAUUUUUUAAGAUAUUGGUAUAUUAUAAAUAUUUUUUUGGCUGGUGUGAAUUUUCUAUGAAUUUCUAAAGGUUAAAUGUUGUUUUAAUUCAAAAAUGAUUUCUAAAAUUCAAAAUCACUAGAAAACCUUUUGUUACUUGUACAGAGUCUAGCCAUAGUCAAUGACAUGUGGGGCCAGUUAAAGUUGAGUCAUCUUUAGUCAAACUGACAUGUGGGGCUCCUGUGAUUAACUAAUUCCUAACGAGAAAAGUAAAAAGUGUUAAUUAAUUCAGCUCGAGUCAAACGUUCAUCUGGUCCCAUAAGGGCUCGAGAGGAUCCGCCCGCUUCUUCACCUCCACCUCAUUUAUAGAACUGAAGACGAGGGAGGGCUCCUGCUGCUAUGCCAUUGGAGCUGAAAAAGUGGAUUGGAGGCGAGCGAGAGGGGAUUGUGAAGUGGCGUCCUAGAGGGCAAUCGAUAAAGCAGGGAGGACAGGGCCCCAUACUUUUAUAGGUCGUCGUGAGCACCAUUAAUAGGGCAGCUAGAGAGAUGGUAGGCGGUAGGUGACUGACGGAGAGAGAUCAAAGGGCACGUCUCCUUGUGAGAAUUCCCAUGGGAGCAUACUCGCGUGGCUGCUCACAUGGCUUCUUCCGGCCAGCUCACACGCAGCCAAGAGAUGAUGAUGCAUGGAGGCCAUUGGACGGGCUGCCAUGGGAAUGCGAGGAAGCGGAUGUGACAUUAAUAGCCGAGAUAGGAACCUAACUAGCUCGCCGAUAUCGACGAGGCACGACCGGAAUAAACCUGGGCUCCAUGGCAACGCCCUCAAGAGGGUGACCGUGCAACGUGUCGCCGCCGCCGAGACCGAAGAUUGGUCAAGGGUUUUCACCCCGAAUCCGCUGCGGCGGGAGAGGUACCAUAGCGACACCCUUAAGAUGGACGCGACACACAGAGCAUUCAAGAGCAGAGCUUUCACCUGGAGCCUCUCAGCCACAUCACACUGCGGGAUCCCAAGCUCCGGUCCACCCCAAGGAUAGGCCUGCCGCCACCAAGCCAGACCUUCACUUGGAGCCGCCAUUGCCGAAGCACAAACAACACCAUGACCACCCACCGCAACAUCCUUGUCGCCCACACGUCCAAGGAACACCGCCAAGAAGCUAGUCGAAGAGCCAACCAGACAGACCGCCACUCGGGGUCGCCUCCCGAGCGUCCAAGGCCCCACCCUCUCCCCCGCAUGCCAACACCAAUUACCAACCCACACGCACACCACUCACCUGCGGCGAGACGGAAAGGUCCCUCCUUUCUAGUCCCACGACGGUGCCAUCAUGUGGCCCGAUGACGACUCUGUUAGGGUUGCUCUUGGCCUGUUUUUCGUACUAACACUCUGUAAUUUGUACAGUUCCCUUCCUCUUCUCUUUAUCUUUGAAACUUUCGCCGGUAACUUUCACAAAAUGGCCUUUCCUAGUCAAGUGUGGAGGGAAAAAAGGCAAGGAAAGACGCAACGUACCCCUGCCGACACGAAGGCGAAGUAGAGAGUUGGAUCCCAUCGUGGAACCGGGACAUGGUCCACCCCCUGCGGCUGCGCGUGGGCGUGGGCGUGGGCGUGGGGCUAAACCCCGACGUGCCCAGCGGAGCUUAUCGUACUAAUUCGCUUCAUAUGGGUGUUUGGAGUGCUAUGGUAGGAGAUUCAGAACGGGA